rnacentral:rRNA from 1 species
GACGAACCGUGCGAACGUUGUUCGGAAUCACUGGGCUUAAAGGGCGCGUAGGCGGGCUGUCAAGUCUGGGGUGAGAUGCCGCGGCUCAACCGUGGAACUGCCUUAGAUACUGACGGCCUCGAGGAAGGUAGGGGCAUGCGGAACUGUAGGUGGAGCGGUGAAAUGCGUUGAUAUCUACAGGAACUCCGGUGGCGAAAGCGGCGUGCUGGACCUUUUCUGACGCUGAGGCGCGAAAGCUAGGGGAGCAAACGGG